rnacentral:rRNA from 1 species
GGUAACAUUUCUAGCUUGCUAGAAGAUGACGAGUGGCGGACGGGUGAGUAAUACUUAGGAAUAUGCCUUUGUGUGGGGGAUAACCAUUGGAAACGAUGGCUAAUACCGCAUAACGUCUUCGGACCAAAGGGGGCCUUGGCUCCCGCGCAAAGAGUAGCCUAAGCGAGAUUAGCUUGUUGGUGAGGUAAAGGCUCACCAAGGCGACGAUCUCUAGCUGUUCUGAGAGGAAGAUCAGCCACACUGGAACUGAGACACGGCCCAGACUCCUACGGGAGGCAGCAGUGGGGAAUCUUCCGCAAUGGACGAAAGUCUGACGGAGCAACGCCGCGUGGGUGAUGAAGGCUUUCGGGUCGUAAAGCCCUGUCAGGGGGGAAGAAUUUUGACGGUACCCCCAAAGGAAGCACCGGCUAACUCCGUGCCAGCAGCCGCGGUAAUACGGAGGGUGCAAACGUUGCUCGGAAUCAUUGGGCGUAAAGCGUGCGUAGGCGGUCUACCAAGUCUGAUGUGAAAGCCUGGGGCUCAACCUCAGAAAGCCAUUGGAAACUGGUAGACUUGAGAGCAGGAGGGGUAGGUGGAAUUCCAGGUGUAGGGGUGAAAUCCGUAGAGAUCUGGAGGA